CACACGCAUUACCCCCAAUUUGGGAGCCAAGAAUACGCAGGCCGCUCGCCCAGGGGCCCUUUCGGAGACGCCCUCCUUGAGUUUGAUGGAUCUGUGGGGCACAUUUUGCAAGCGCUGCAGGACGGCGGGGUAGCCGAAAACUCCCUGGUGUUCUUCACUGCUGACAACGGGUGAGGGUGCUUCUCACCUCCAAGAUAUCUAACCCAGAACUGGGUCUCAACGUUGUUGUUUUUGCUCGGGAAGCAGGAAAGAUUGGCAAAGACUGUUGCGGAUUUUAUUAGGACGGACAGUGAAUUGCUGACAUUGGAGACUAGUUCUGCUGCCUUAAUAUACUUUUUGACUACAGCUGAGCUCCUGAGCUCCUUGAAGGCAAAUUGAUCCAUCUGGCCAUAAGAUAUGGCUGCAGAAUUUGGGGAGCUUUGAGUUCCAGGCAACUUAUGUGCAUUGAACACAUGCAAGUUCAACUGUAUGCGGUUGGCAUUGCACAAAUUAAACACAUGGAAGGCAGAGAGCUUAAAAGCUCUUUUUGUGCAGGGCUUCCCAGUGUGGAAGGAGCAUUUAAACUCUCAGACUUCCUUACUGGGCUCUGGGAGGCUCUCAUGAGAUCUUGGGAUGGCCAUGCAAGAUCUCGCAAGAGCCUCCCAGAGACCAGUAAGUAAACUCAGUGUUUGAAAGCUCUCUUUCCCAUUUGUGGUGAGGGGUUAAGACCCGUUUGGCAUGCCGGCUCUGGAAGGUAAAGAUGAUCGCACAGGGGCACUUCCAAGGCGUUGUUUUGACCAUACGCGAUUUUGGCUUUAUACACACGGCCCAGGGAAAUUAAUCCCUGUGUCACGUUUGUUAGAAAGGGGAUGUUUUAAUGGAAAAUGAGUGAGGUCCCAACCAAAGAAGAACGUUAACUUAAACUGAUGGAAUAUAUCUAACAUAUAGAAUAAGAAAACAAGAAAAAUGCACGUUUAAAGAAGACUGGAAAAUGUUUACUGAAUAUCUGGGUGAAAAUUGUGUUCAUUUGAAAACGCUGGUAGCAUUAAGAUAAAUUUGACAGUGCAAAUAAGAUUUGAUGUAUGUAGCAAUUGAUUACUGAGCGGUUUAGUUCAUGUAAAAUAUGUAGAGAUGUAAGGUAUGUAAAAGGACACGGGUAGUGCUGUGGGUUAAACCACAGAGCCUAGGGCUUGCCGAUCAGAAGGUCAGUGGUUCGAAUCCCUGCGAUGGGGUGAGCUCCCGUUGCUCAGUCCGUGCUCCUGCCAACCUAGCAGUUCGAAAGCACAUCAAAGUGCAAGUAGAUAAAUAGGUACCACUCCAGCGGGAAGGUAAACGGUGUUUCUGUGCGCUGUUCUGGUUCGCCAGAAGCGGCUUAGUCAUGCUGGCCACAUGACCCAGAAGCUGUACACCGGCUCCCUCGGCCAAUAAAGCGAGAUGAGCACCGCAACCCCAGAGUCGUCCGCCACUGGACCUAAUGGUCAGGGGUCCCUUUACCUUUAAGAUAUAUACAAUGAACCAUGGAAAGAAGAGAAGUUAUUGAUUUAAGGUUGCUUAAAUGAAUAUUUCGAAACGUAAUUUAGAAAAUGUUUUAAAUGAAAAAGGGGUGGGGUGGGGGAAUAUUGCAUCCUUUUUUGUAUGCAUAAUUUUUAUUAAUUUGCAUAAUGCAAAAUACAAAAACAAAAUAUAAAAGUUCGAUUCUCAUUUUCACAGGUUUUUAAGUAUGGCUUCCUUCAACCUUUCCACAAAUCAUCCGUAAUAAUCUUUUAUAAAAAUUCGCAUUUCUUAGUUUGAAAUGCCAUUAAUCAUUCUAGUUCUUCCAUUUCUCUUUAGACAAUACUCUUUUCUUUUUACAGAGCUCCUUUAAAGCCCACUAGUGUUAUCUGUCCAUCACUUAAAUUUUCCAGAUAUUUCGUAAAACUUUCCCAAUCCUUAAUGAACCUCUGGUCUUUUAAAUAUCUAAUUUUCCCUGUCAUCUUAUCCAUUUCCGCAUAAUCUAAUAGUUUUGCUCUCCAUUCCUCAAUUGUCGGUAGGCCCUCUGAUUUCCAAUUUUGAGCUAAUAAGACUCUUGCUGCCGUUGUUGCAUACUGGAACAGCUUGUGAUCUUUCUUUUUAUCUCCCUUCCUACCAAUCCCAACAGAAAAGCCUCGGGUUUUUUAACAAAAGUAUAUCUUAAAAUUUUCUUCAUUUCGUUAUAUACACUCUCCCAGAACCCUUUAACCUUUUGGCAUUCCCACCACAUAUGGUAGAAGGUCCCCCCCCUUUCCUUGCACUUCCAGCAUUUAUUACAAGUUCCAUACAUUUUGGCUAAUUUUGCAGGAGUCAUAUACCAUCGGUAAAACAUUUUCAUUAAAUUCUCCUUUAGUGUCACGCAAGCUGUAAACUUGAGAUGUUUUUUCCAAAGUUUCUCCCAUUCUUCAAAAUAUAUAUUAUGACCGAUAUCUCUAGCCCAAUAUAUCAUUACCGACUUUACUUCCUCGUCUAUUAAAUUCCAUUCCAAUAACUGAUUAUACAUUUUAGACAAAAUUUUAUAGUUGUUAUUCAAUAUCUCAAUCUGGAAUCUAGAAUCUUUAUCAGCAUAUCCUUUGUCUUUAAUAUCUUUCCUGAACAUUCCGUUUAUCUGGAAAUAGUGCAGCCAAUCAUAGACUUUCUCUUUGACCUGUUCGUACGGCUUCAUUUUCCACUUUCCUUCUUCUUUCAUUAACAGUUGUUCAUAGGUAGCCCAAUUGUCCCUCAUAUUAAUCUUUUUAACGCUCAUGACUUCUAGUGGCGAUAGCCAAUGGGGUGUUUUAGGUUCUAACAUAUCUCUGUUCCUCUCCCAUACCUCAAUCAAUGGACCUCUGAAAAUAUGAUUUUCGAAGCCCCUGUGUACUUUUCUCCUCCCAUGCCAUAGAUAGGCGUGCCACCCAAAUCUGUUGUUAAAUCCCUCUAGGUCUAGCACUUCCUUAUCUUCCAGUUUUAUCCAUGUUUUGACCCAGCAUAGGCAUGACGCCUCAUAGUACAAUUUCAAAUCUGGCAGGGCAAAGCCCCCCCUUUCCUUCACAUCUGUCAACAGUUUAAAUUUUAUUCUUGGUUUCUUGCCCUGCCAGACGAAUUUUGAGAUCACCCUCUGCCAGUCUUUAAAUAUCUUUAUACCCUUAAUUACAGGAAUGUUCUGAAACAAAAACAACACUUUUGGAAGCACACACAUCUUGAUUGUGGCUAUUCUGCCCCAAAAUGACAGUUUUAGCUUGCCCCAUGUUUCAAUAUCUUUCUUAACUCCUUUCCAUACUGUCUCGUAAUUAUUUUUGAAUAAGUCUAUGUUUUUGGCGUUACCCAUAUUCCUAAAUAUUUCACCUUUCUGGCCACCUCUAUUUCCGUUUCUCUUUGUAAUUCUUCAGUUUUAUCUGUAUUCAUAUUCUUUACUAUCAUUUUUGUUUUCCUUUUAUUUAAUUUGAAGCCAGCCACUUUUCCGAAUUGGUCAAAUUCUUCGAGUACCUCUUUUAUUGAAUCUAUUGGAUCCUCCAUUAUUACAACCAGAUCGUCUGCGAAUGCCUUAAUUUUGUAUUCAUUCUGCCCAACUGUUACUCCUUUUAUCCCCUUAUUUUCUCUUAUUGAAUUUAGGAGGACUUCUAACACCAUUAUAAAUAACAAUGGGGACAGUGGACAUCCCUGUCUUGUUCCUUUUGCUAUUCUUAUUUCUGCUGUCUCCACAUUGUUUAUUAUCAGUUUUGCCUUUUGUUCCGUGUAGAUUGCCUUUACCCCGUUAUAGAAUUCAGUGCCAACCUCCAUAUAUUCCAAUUGUUUCAGCAGGAAAUCCCAGAUUAUGUUAUCGAAUGCUUUCUCUGCAUCCACGAACAACAACAAACCUUGUUUAUCACACCUGUCAGAUAAAUAUUCUAUAAUAUUU
rnacentral:lncRNA from 1 species